GGGGUUGUACUGGUUUCGACAGGGAUUUUGAAAUCCCGGCAGCCAUCCGUGGUUCGUGAUCCACGUUAAAAGUGCGAAAAAAAAUAAACGCAGAUUCUAGAGAAGAAUUAGCAUUCGCUGCUUAAUCGCAGCUGUCGGCCCGGGAAUCAUCCGCUGUUUCCGGAAUCCGGCAUCGAAUCAGGCGGAGAACGUUCCUCCCAAAGCUUUGAGGGUUGAAACGAAUUAUGAAGCUACCGGACUGUGGAGUCUGUCUUUGGACGACGCGGCGAGGGAAUCUUAAAACAAAGACUGUGAUGGGAGAUACCGGUAUGGAAGGGUCUUUGGACGCGGGUUCGAUUCCCGCCAGCUCCA
rnacentral:tmRNA from 1 species